CCUACGGGAGGCAGCAGUGAGGAAUAUUGGUCAAUGGACGAGAGUCUGAACCAGCCAAGUAGCGUGAAGGAUGACUGCUCUAUGGGUUGUAAACUUCUUUUAUAUGGGAAUAAAAUGUUCCACGUGUGGGAUUUUGUAUGUACCAUAUGAAUAAGGAUCGGCUAACUCCGUGCCAGCAGCCGCGGUAAUACGGAGGAUCCGAGUGUUAUCCGGAUUUAAUGGGUUUAAAGGGGGCGUAGGUGGAUUGUUAAGUCAGUCGUGAAAGUUUGCGGCUCAACCGUAAAAUUGCAGUUGAAACUGGCAGUCUUGAGUGCAGUAGAGGUAAGCGGAAUUCGUGGUGUAGCGGUGAAAUGCUUAGAUAUCACGAAGAACUCCGAUGGCGAAGGCAGCUCACUGGACUGCAACUGACACUGAGGCUCGAAAGUGUGGGUAUCAAACAGGAUUAGAUACCCGAGUAGUC
rnacentral:rRNA from 1 species